CAAGCGGCAUCCCUCCUCUCCCUUACAUCCCCUUGUUCUUCUUCUUCUUCCUCCCAGACUCAUUUCUGCAUGGUAGAAGAUCAAGUAAUACGAUUAAGAAGAAUGGGUCAAACCCAAAUGGAGUGUGAGGCGUGGAUUGAUUGAACAGUUUAACGAGAUAUUGGUCCGGUUCAAUUAGAAAGCAGUGCUUAUGUGCUUCAAGCUCUGCUCUUUGAUUGAGCCGUGCCAAUAUCACGUAGCUCUGGUCUGUAAAUCAAACAGAUAUGUCGAGGUAGUUGCAACCGUUCCUUUUUUAUGUUCUUUUCAUUUCCUGUCUCGACUUAAUUUCUUGGCAUUAUUUAUCGUUGUCUGAAACUCUGAAUAAAGAAAUAUCUGAACAUGAUCACAAUUAAACGAGUGUAAGUGUAUCUUUCCUUUAUCCCAUUUUAGUCUAUAAUCUAGAUUCUUAUUUCUUAAUCUAUCUGCUUACCGAAGAACUCAUACCAAACUUAAAAAAGUACAGCACCAAUUUAUUGGACACAUUGUUGUGAUGGGCUGGGCGAGGUUUUAUAACCUGAUUGGGCAAUCUGGACUGAGAAAUCCAAGCUCAGUAGCCGCGGGUUCAACCAUAUUGUGAGCAUCUCGUGGGGUACUCCGGGGCCGGGCAGGUCCAAACAUCCAGAUGUCCGGUUUAAUGAGCCGCGAAUUUUGUGGAGAGACGAAAUAGGGUAAACUCCCCAUCUAACAUUGAGAGAUAUAUACACAAUAUAUAAAUAAAUAAAUAGAAUUAUUAAUAUAUAAUAAUUUGGGUGGUCUAACCCUAUCAACCUCUAUAUCAGGGUCACAUUUUCCAACUCUAACCCUACCCAAUAUCUUCAACCCAACCCAACUUUACCCGUCCCGUACCUGGCUUGAGUUGGGAUGGCCACUCGGCAUCCCUGCGAAUAUGGAGUCACAGGAUCAAACCUGCAGAACUUUAGAGUCUCUGUGAUGUGUGAUGUCUCAAUUUCACUUCACCCCUACAAAACAUGAAUGACAAGUGAUACAGUGAUGUUUUCUUUUCUUUUUGUUAAAUUAGCAAGUAAACCCAUGCAAAUGUAUGAGGUUGAAGAGAAAUUUGAUUAGGUUUGAAUUGAUAAAUUUGAAUUUUGAUAUUGGUUUGAUUCUAGGCUAAGGUUCAUGUUUAGGGUUGGUCUCAGGUUGGCACAUAAUCCCAUCCAACCCAUCCAAAUUUAUUAGGGAGGGUCAAAACUCAAAAAGGUUUAAAGAUAUAUAAGAGGAAAUGAGGGAUUUAAUGGGGGGAGGGGAGAUAUUACAAAUAUUGACUAUUGAAAAGUGAGAGGGAGAUAUAAGAAUGAUUUUGUUUGAAAAAAAUAAUCAUAGAUUUUAAUAGAGAAAAUUAAAGGAUUUGAAACUUGUGGUGAGAGCCCAAUCGCCUCUACACUCCUCUAUAUAGAUGGAGUCAUACAAUUGGGGUAGCCUCAUCCAGUCAUCCCCAACCCCUACAACUCCCACAGCACUGGUGAAGGCGAGAACUGAUCUCAAGCCUCUGUUACAAGAGAAACUUUGGCUCGGUGAUAAGUUGAGGUCAUUGUUCAUUUAUAACUCUAGUCAUGUCGUGUAAUAACUUCAGCUAGGAUUUGGCACCAUCAUUUGUAACUCUUCGAUUGUCUCUCUGCCUCAACCAGACAAGGGAAAAAAGGCUCUACUAUAUAAUUAAAAGGAGUGUCCUUGGUUUGUAGC